GUCUAGAGAAGGCUGCUGUAGAAGGACCCACCCUAGUAAACCUUCAUUCAGAAAAUGUAAACAUUUUUGUGAUUCUGUGAUGAGGUUGGAAGCCUUGCCGCUCGUUUCAAACUGAUCAAGAAGAUUAAAGAAUUUGCCUUGUGUUCUGAGCUUGUUGAAUGUGUGUUUCUUAUGAGAAAGUGAUCAACUUAUCACUUACUUUUAAUACAGGUUCUGGAGGUGCUUCAUUCUUAGGCCUCCUCUCUUUAAGACAGUUGUGAUGCUCUGUCUGCUACCACCACAUCACAGUAGAUGACAGAGGGUGAGGGAUGCCAGUGAGUAUGGGGGACCCCUGUGUACAGCACAGCAGGACAAUAAGCUUAUAGCCAUGAGGACUAACACUGAAAACUAUUAUCUCACUGUGGCUCGAGGACUCUGAGAAUGAUGGAGAAGUUUCCAGAAGAUCAAGAGGAUCAAAACUAUUUCCAUAAUGAUAUUUUGACAAACUUUGUUCUUUUUCUCUGGCAUUCUCUCAUGUGUACAUGCUGAAAAUUGAAGAUAUGAAGUAGAGCUGACUAUUAAAGCCAAACUUUAAAAUUUAUAAAAUUGUGAACUAAUGAAAAUUUUCUGUCUUUAAUACAAUAACAGCUUCAUAAAUGACAACAUUUAUACUCAAUAUAUGCAUGUGUAAAUAAAGGUGAAUUCAAAGU